GGAGAGCUAUGGGCAUCAGGCUGAGGGGUUUGGUGUCCAAGAAGGAUACACUGUUAGCAGGGGCAGAGAACUGAAGAGGCUGAAUCCGCCCAAUGAUAAAAUCACCAAAAUGCACCAGUCUGGAUACACUAAAGAAAAAGUCUCCAUGGUUCAGGGCUGAAGCGCUUGCCUCCCAUGCUGUGAGGCCCUGCUUUCCACAGCUCAGCACUACAAACAACUCAUAGCAGAGACCCCAGGAAGACAGCCUGCUGACAGUCACUCAAGUCCAGAGCUAGUGAGACCUACUGAGGAGGCUGUGCAACACAAGUCCAGGACCUCGAGCUGCUGAUGUGAUGCCCUUUGAUAUUCAGUGCCUGUGCAGAGACAGUGGGUGAUUAAAAGGGAUGCAUCUGGAAAGACUACUAGGAAGAAGAGAGAAAAAAAAUCCAAGUCGUCACUGCCAAUAUCACAUCAGCCGAAAUGAGAUAAAGGAAGCAGAGGUAUGGUGGCUGAGGCCAGGAAGCCAGCCUAGGCCAUCACCAGAAAUAGUCUGUUUUUAAAAGCACGUUCCAUUUCAACACAUUUCAGAAAAACAAAGAGGAGACCUUGAGGGGAAGACAAACAGGUCCUACAGUGACAAGCAGCGGGUGUGCUUGCGGCAAAGGCAGCCACCCAGAGCCAGCCAGUGAUCUUCAUCUGACAAAUUCAGAUCUCUCAUGGCAGACGAGACUCCAACAGCGAAUCACCAUCGGCAGCGGCCCCACAAAGUGCCAAUUUUCAUAUUUCCUAAGGCCUGUGGGGCUCCGGGAUUCUUGGCUUAAAUGGAAACUGUCAGAUAGGAUUUUGUACAAACACGCAGUUUCCUUGGGGGCAAACACUCUGAAAAUACAACUUGCUUUUUCAUUUUCUGACAGAUUUUCAUAUAUGGUGGUUGCAUCAAAGAUGAGACAGACAGUAGGAAGGACUUCCGGGAUGCCAGCACAGAGCAGACAAGGAGUGCAUACAGGAGGAGCCGAAUACAUUGCCUGGGCUGGGGGUAGGGGGCACAAAUAUAGGGGCCACCCCCAUGCUCUUCUCUUCCUCCCACAGCCUCCCCACCACCCCUGUAACACCAUAUCCUCCCUGCUGACGACCUGCAGCAAGGUCUUACAGGAGGAGCUGGAACAAAAGAAUGUGAAAAAUCAAACGUCUUGAAUAAGGAGUGUUAGUUACCAAUUGGGCCAGAGAGAGCGCAGUCAGUAAAGUGCUUUCUGCAUGAGCAUGCGAUAAGAACCCUCACUGGAUCCUCAGCACCCACAUACAAAGUUAGUAGGACCGGGCUCUGUAAACCCAGUGAUUGGAGGGGUGGAGACAGGAGGCCCCCCGGGGUUUGUUCAUGACCCCCAUCUAGUCAAAUCAAAAGGUAAUGUAGAGAGCAAUUGAUCUCUGGCCUUUACAUGAACAGAGACAGACACAGAGACACAGAGAUAGAGGUAGACAGACAGACCGCGGGGGGUGGGGGGGUGGGGGGAACGAAUGAUUAAAUCUUCUCUAGUGCUUAUAGACAAGGUUUGUCAAUGACACCAGUUUUUCUGAAACCAUUUUAAAGAGCCAACUCCCUUUUCUCCUAAGACCCCUUUUCUCCUAAGACCCUUUCCUGGCUCCUCAUAAAACUGUCUCAAAGAGCACAUUAGAAAGAGCUAAAAUAAGGGAUAUGUGGCAACUGUAACGUCUUGGAUUCUCAUUGGGAAUUCAAAUGAUCAGAAAUCUACUUCCAUGCCAGCACUACACUUGGAGAAAACAGUUUCUACAGUGAGGACAUCUCUGAGAUUCAGCCUGACUUGUUAAUAAAGACACCUUCCUCAAGUUUCAUGUUUUAUCCUAA